rnacentral:rRNA from 1 species
UACGAAGGGGGCUAGCGUUGCUCGGAAUCACUGGGCGUAAAGGGUGCGUAGGCGGGUCUUUAAGUCAGGGGUGAAAUCCUGGGAGCUCAACUCCAGAACUGCCUUUGAUACUGAGGAUCUUGAGUUCGGGGAGAGGUGAGUGGAACUGCGAGUGUAGAGGUGAAAUUCGUAGAUAUUCGCAAGAACACCAGUGGCGAAGGCGGCUCACUGGCCCGAUACUGACGCUGAGGCACGAGAGCGUGGGGA